UCCAAUGUGUUUAUCACUAUUUGGUACUUGGUUCACAAUUGAACACAAAUUAACAUAUAUCCUACUGAAGUUUCACUAAAUGAAGGCUGAUAAAUGAUAAAAUGCAGGGAUAAAAAUUGUCAUUCUAUGCCAAAAAGGAUUAAACUUUGGCUGUUUCAGACUUCUGUUUUAUUGCCUUUUCACUCUAAGCUGAAAUUAUAAUGAAUGUAGAUUGUGAUGUAGACUCUGACCACAUUUUGCUAAUGUGUCAAGAUCAGCAUCCAUGUGCUUCAAAUUUUCUCCAAAGAAUUCCCAGGAAGAGUGAUGUGUGGGACAAGCUGGCUGGUGCGGUUCAAAAUGGUUCUAAAUUACAUGAAGAUGUUCUGCGUUUGGUUUUCCUCCACAAACCAUCACUUCUUCAAGCUCAACUGCUCCACGUAUUACUUAUUUGCAGUGACCUGGUCAAAGAAUUUGAAGACAACCAAAUUAUGUUCAAUGCUGAAACCAAAAUAUUUUAUAACAGAAAUGUAGUCAGCAAGUGUGAUUCUAUCUGGAAAGAUUCUAACAUUCCUGGUGCUGUUACUACAGAGACUAAGCUAGUGAACAUUGUUUCUAAUACUUUUUUUCAUUUAUUCAUGAAAUGUAAUUUUUCUAGGUUAAUGUUUGUAGUUAUGGGAAGUUUCUAUAAAAGAAUGUUAGCAUUGA